rnacentral:rRNA from 1 species
GAUGAACGCUGGCGGCGUGCCUAAUACAUGCAAGUCGAGCGAAGCGGGGAAGGGUGAGUAACACGUGGAUAACCUCCUAUACGACUAGGAUAUCUUCGGGAAACCGGUUAUAAACCGGAUCCUUAUAGCUGGCUCCGCGCUGCAUUAGCUAGUUGUUAAGGUAACGGCUUACCAAGGCAACGAUGCAUACCCGACCUGAGAGGGGGCACGGCCACACUGGAAGUGAGCCACGGUCCAGCGUCCUGCGGGAUGCAGCAGUAGGGAAUCGUCCGCAAUGGGCGAAAGCCGAACGGAGCAACGCCGCGUGAUUGAUGAAGGUCUUCGGAUCGUAAAACUCUGUUAUGAUGGAAGCGGUACCUAAUCAGAAAGCCACGGCUAACUACGUGCCAGCCGCCGCGGUAAUAC